UUUACAACUGACAGUCUGUGUACUGAUAACGCAACUUUAGCAGUAAAAAAACUUCUCUGGUCUACUAUACUGCGUACAUGUGACUUUAAGAUUAUUUGCAGUGCAGGUAAGUUCAAUAAAAUUACCGUUUUUUUUCUGAUUUUUUUUUUACCCAAACUGGCCUAUUAAUUUAAGUUUAAGAAAUAGCACCUCACUUAACCCAAACUCGAUAAGACACAAGUCAAACAGAUUUACGAACUAAUUUCCAUACUCAGUGGUGGAUCCAUAAAUUUUGAUAAAAAAGGGGGGUGCAUAUAUAUUGCAUGACUGCCUAAGGUUAUAAUUAAGGCUUUUAACUAUAUAUUGGGUAGGUAAGUGGUAAACACUUAGUUGUCGUCUUCUUCUAUAUGUAUAUCCUUCCAAUUAUGGAACUCCUCCUCAACGGAUAUUUGUCUUCAUAUUCUAUUUACAUGCAUGUGGAGUUUAGAGAAAUAGAAUUUAUUUUAUCAGCUUUGAACAGCCAUCUUUUAUUUCAUGUUUAGCCUAAACAUUAAUGACAUUAGAAUUACUACAAACUUUUAAGCUACAUGUGAAAAACUAUUUAAAGUUAUAAUUCUAUUGUGUAUAUAAAUAUUAUUAACCAAACAAUACUACAUUUAUAAAAUGAGAUAUUUUCCAUCAAUUGAAUAAUUUGAUUUAUGUUUUAGGGAUACAACAAGUAUGCAAGUCCCUAGAUAUAAAUGAACAGAGAAAAUUAUUGAGGAGAUCAUUGGGGAAAAAACUUAACAAAGGAAAUGUACUUUUCUAUAAGGAGGAGAAGUGAAAGAAGCAGGUAUUAUAUACUUGAUUAACUUAAUUUGGCUGUAACAAUCAAACCAUUGAGAUAAAUGUCUAUAUAUUUCAAUAAAUCAGCACGUAAACAAACAACAAAAUCAGUAGAGGCAUCUGUUAGUUAAUACAAAGACAUCAAUAUAAGUGUCAAUACAAAUGUCAAAACAAAUGUCAAAAAAAGAGGAAGUGGUAUGAUUACCAAUGAGACAACUCUACUCAAGAGACCAAAGGAUACAGGCAUUAAUAACUAUUGAUUUGGCCUUCAACGAUGAGUAAAACCUGUAAUGCAUAGUCAUCUUUAAGUUUAAUAAAUAUAUAAAAUACCACAGAAUGACAAAUAUGUAAAAUAAUUUGACUGUUUGAAUAUUAUGUACAUGUAUCAUAGAUAGCCAAAAAAUCUGUUUUUAAAAAUGACAAAAAGUGACUGGCGGUUAGAGAUAUAAAUAAAGGCUAUAUAUAUUAACUUGUCCAUGCAACCUCAUUAUGUACAUAAGGAGGCCCAAGAGUACUAGUAUGAUUGUUUUUGUCUCAUCAUCCAUCCCAAAAUUUUCUUCAGUGUUACUGAUAACUUUGUAUCAGGCAGGCUUGUCAUUUAAUGUAUAUACAUUGCACAUUAUAUAUUUAUUUUAUAUAAAGGUCUACCGGUAUGCAGUUUUUAAAAAUUUUUUGGGGUAUGGUAAAUAUCUUGCAUUCAUUGAACCUCCAAAAAUUAUUUUUCCAUCCUCAUUUGUUUUUCAUUACUUUAUUUUCGAAUCCCUUAAAUAAAGUUUUUAUUCUUAUAUUAUUCAUGAUAUAUUUAUAAAACCUUGAUUUUUUGCAACCAUAUUAUGGUAUGGCAUCGUCGUCUGAAGACUUUUGUUUCCAGGCAAUAACUUUAGUAACUAAAUGGAUCUUUAUGAAAUUGUACCACAUGGUUCCAUACCCCAAAAGGAGGUUGGGUAGGAGUUAUGGCUUAAAAGUUUAUACACAAGGGGCCAAAAACAAUACUUCUUUUCUUGACCAAUAUAACUUUUCUUAUGUUUGUAGGGAAAAUUGGCGGAGUGUAACAUCUAUUAGGAAUAAAAAGAGGAAAUAAGUGUCUGAAGCAGUAAAUCAUUAUGACUGAAAAAAGAAGAUAUCAGAAUAUGAAAUGAGUUUAUUUCAGUUAAAAAGACUUGCUACAGAAUGUUCCUCUUGUAAUUUUAUUGAAGACCAGACCAUUGUCAACUUUAAGUAAAGGAAGAUAAUAAAACAUUGAAGAGGAAAUGAAGGAAAAGACUUAAUCAUCAAAGAGCAUAACAAAGCAUAAUUCAGAAUAACUCAUGUGAAGGAAUAAUAUUGUACAGUAAA
rnacentral:lncRNA from 1 species